rnacentral:rRNA from 1 species
AACGAACGCUGGCGGCAGGCUUAACACAUGCAAGUCGAGCGCCCCGCAAGGGGAGCGGCAGACGGGUGAGUAACGCGUGGGAACGUACCCUUUGCUACGGAAUAGCUCCGGGAAACUGGAAUUAAUACCGUAUGUGCCCUACGGGGGAAAGAUUUAUCGGCAAAGGAUCGGCCCGCGUUGGAUUAGCUAGUUGGUGGGGUAAUGGCCUACCAAGGCGACGAUCCAUAGCUGGUCCGAGAGGAUGAUCAGCCACAUUGGGACUGAGACACGGCCCAAACUCCUACGGGAGGCAACAGUGGGGAAUAUUGGACAAUGGGCGCAAGCCUGAUCCAGCCAUGCCGCGUGAGUGAUGAAGGCCUUAGGGUUGUAAAGCUCUUUCACCGGAGAAGAUAAUGACGGUAUCCGGAGAAGAAGCCCCGGCUAACUUCGUGCCAGCCGCCGCUGUAACAC